rnacentral:rRNA from 1 species
AAAUUGAAGAGUUUGAUCAUGGCUCAGAUUGAACGCUGGCGGCAGGCCUAACACAUGCAAGUCGAGCGGUAGCACAGAGAGCUUGCUCUCGGGUGACGAGCGGCGGACGGGUGAGUAAUGUCUGGGAAACUGCCUGAUGGAGGGGGAUAACUACUGGAAACGGUAGCUAAUACCGCAUAACGUCGCAAGACCAAAGUGGGGGACCUUCGGGCCUCAUGCCAUCAGAUGUGCCCAGAUGGGAUUAGCUAGUAGGUGGGGUAACGGCUCACCUAGGCGACGAUCCCUAGCUGGUCUGAGAGGAUGACCAGCCACACUGGAACUGAGACACGGUCCAGACUCCUACGGGAGGCAGCAGUGGGGAAUAUUGCACAAUGGGCGCAAGCCUGAUGCAGCCAUGCCGCGUGUGUGAAGAAGGCCUUCGGGUUGUAAAGCACUUUCAGCGGGGAGGAAGGCGNUAAGGUUAAUAACCUUGNCGAUUGACGUUACCCGCAGAAGAAGCACCGGCUAACUCCGUGCCAGCAGCCGCGGUAAUACGGAGGGUGCAAGCGUUAAUCGGAAUUACUGGGCGUAAAGCGCACGCAGGCGGUCUGUCAAGUCGGAUGUGAAAUCCCCGGGCUCAACCUGGGAACUGCAUUCGAAACUGGCAGGCUAGAGUCUUGUAGAGGGGGGUAGAAUUCCAGGUGUAGCGGUGAAAUGCGUAGAGAUCUGGAGGAAUACCGGUGGCGAAGGCGGCCCCCUGGACAAAGACUGACGCUCAGGUGCGAAAGCGUGGGGAGCAAACAGGAUUAGAUACCCUGGUAGUCCACGCCGUAAACGAUGUCGAUUUGGAGGUUGUGCCCUUGAGGCGUGGCUUCCGGAGCUAACGCGUUAAAUCGACCGCCUGGGGAGUACGGCCGCAAGGUUAAAACUCAAAUGAAUUGACGGGGGCCCGCACAAGCGGUGGAGCAUGUGGUUUAAUUCGAUGCAACGCGAAGAACCUUACCUGGUCUUGACAUCCACAGAACUUUCCAGAGAUGGAUUGGUGCCUUCGGGAACUGUGAGACAGGUGCUGCAUGGCUGUCGUCAGCUCGUGUUGUGAAAUGUUGGGUUAAGUCCCGCAACGAGCGCAACCCUUAUCCUUUGUUGCCAGCGGUUCGGCCGGGAACUCAAAGGAGACUGCCAGUGAUAAACUGGAGGAAGGUGGGGAUGACGUCAAGUCAUCAUGGCCCUUACGACCAGGGCUACACACGUGCUACAAUGGCAUAUACAAAGAGAAGCGACCUCGCGAGAGCAAGCGGACCUCAUAAAGUAUGUCGUAGUCCGGAUUGGAGUCUGCAACUCGACUCCAUGAAGUCGGAAUCGCUAGUAAUCGUAGAUCAGAAUGCUACGGUGAAUACGUUCCCGGGCCUUGUACACACCGCCCGUCACACCAUGGGAGUGGGUUGCAAAAGAAGUAGGUAGCUUAACCUUCGGGAGGGCGCUUACCACUUUGUGAUUCAUGACUGGGGUGAAGUCGUAACAAGGUAACCGUAGGGGAACCUGCGGUUGGAUCACCUCCUUACC